rnacentral:rRNA from 1 species
GUAGUCCACGCCGUAAACGAUGGAUGCUAGUAGUGUGGAGUAUCGACCCUCUGCGUUGCGAAGCUAACGCGUUAAGCAUCCCGCCUGGGGAGUACGGCCGCAAGGCUAAAACUCAAAGGAAUUGACGGGGACCCGCACAAGCAGUGGAGCAUGUGGUUUAAUUCGAUGCUACGCGAAGAACCUUACCGACCCUUGACAUCCUGGUCGUAUCCUCUGGAGACAGAGGAGUCAGUCUGCUGGACCAGUGACAGGUGUUGCAUGGCCGUCGUCAGCUCGUGUCGUGAGAUGUUGGGUUAAGUCCCGCAACGAGCGCAACCCUUGUUGUUUGUUGUAUUUUUCAAACAAGACUGCCCGAGCCAAUCGGGA